CCUACGGGAGGCAGCAGUGAGGAAUAUUGGUCAAUGGACGAGAGUCUGAACCAGCCAAGUAGCGUGAAGGAUGACUGCCCUAUGGGUUGUAAACUUCUUUUAUAAGGGAAUAAAGCGCGGCACGUGUGCCUUUUUGCAUGUACCUUAUGAAUAAGGAUCGGCUAACUCCGUGCCAGCAGCCGCGGUAAUACGGAGGAUCCGAGCGUUAUCCGGAUUUAUUGGGUUUAAAGGGAGCGUAGACGGGUGCUUAAGUCAGUUGUGAAAGUUUGCGGCUCAACCGUAAAAUUGCAAUUGAUACUGGCUGUCUUGAGUGCAGCAGAGGUAGGCGGAAUUCGUGGUGUAGCGGUGAAAUGCUUAGAUAUCACGAAGAACCCCGAUUGCGAAGGCAGCUUACUAAACUGUGACUGACGCUGAUGCUCGAAAGUGUGGGUAUCAAACAGGAUUAGAUACCCCGGUAGUC
rnacentral:rRNA from 1 species